rnacentral:rRNA from 1 species
UACGUAGGGUGCGAGCGUUGUCCGGAAUUAUUGGGCGUAAAGAGCUCGUAGGCGGUUUGUCACGUCUGCUGUGAAAUCCCGAGGCUCAACCUCGGGCCUGCAGUGGGUACGGGCAGACUAGAGUGCGGUAGGGGAGAUUGGAAUUCCUGGUGUAGCGGUGGAAUGCGCAGAUAUCAGGAGGAACACCAAUGGCGAAGGCAGAUCUCUGGGCCGUAACUGACGCUGAGGAGCGAAAGCAUGGGGAGCGAACAGG